ACAAAUAGAAGAGAAAGGGACAAGAUGGACCUGAGUAAACUUUCCCUUUCUGAUUUGAUUAAAUUGAUUCCACAAAUAAUGAAGCCCAAUCUACUAUAUGAGAAAACAAACAAGGAUAGCAACUAGAUCGAACAAGACCUCGGCUACAACGAAUGCCUUGACUCGACUCUUUGUGUUUAUAAUGAAAUGUUCGACUUCAAAAACGAAACCAAGCAAUUCACUCGACUCUUUGUGCGGCUGUUUUGUGUAUGCAGAUAGGUUGGAGGUAUUUCCUUUCUUGAACAAGAGCGACAGAAGGGAAUCUAUAGGUGAAGAGUGCUCGGCUGUUAGAAGGAGGUGUGGUUAAGGAUGAGAGACGGCGACGGGGGGAGGGGAGGGGAGGGGCUGGUUUUUGGCGAUAUCAGUGGUGGCUGGCGACAGAGGGGUUAGGAGAUGAGCGGGUGUGUAGGUGUGUGGUUGGCAAGGGUUCUGUCGCUGGCGUUGGAAGGGGUGUGAAAGAGAGAAGGGGGUGGGUGAUGUGGAUAGUGAGGAGGUCCGGCGGAUUUUUUGGCGGAGAUGAGGGGGCGGCAGCGACUCUUCUGGUUCUAAGAGCGACGGCGACUGUUGGCUUUCAAAGAGCGAUGGCGGCUGCUGCUUGGAGAGGAUGACGGCUGGAGCUCUGAAGAAGAAUUAGGAUUUUUUUGUGUGUGUUGUCUUGGUUGAAGAAGAAGAGGGGACGGCUGGGAGGGGUUCUAGGUCUCUAGGCUUCUUUGUUUUGUCUCUUUGAUAAAGAAGAAGCAACGGCUGGGGUCUUCAAGACUAGGGUUGGGAUCUGUUUUUAUUUUUAAGAAGAAGAGUCCAGAAGGGUCUCUAGGGUUAGCUUAGUGGAUAUUGGGUAUUGGGCUUGGAUUUAUGGGCUAAGGGUCCGAAAAUUGGGCCUAAAAUGGGUUGUUUAGGCCCAAAUUUUAUUCUUUCUCAUUGAACAAGACUAAAAAUACUACCCCAUUUACUAACUAAUUCAACUUAAGAAAAAUAACUAUUAAAAUAAAACUAACCGUUAAAACAAACCUAUUUUUGGUAUUUUUCAAAUAUCAUACUAAAAGAUUAAAAUAGAAUUAGAUUAAAAUCAUUGCAAAAUUAAAAUAAUAUUCCUAGCAAACUACUAAUAUUCCUGAAAAUGAAGUAGAACUAUUUUUGUCUUUUAUGAAAGGUAGGUAAACUAAAAUUAACAAUAUAAAAUAUCAAUUACCUAAAUAAAAGAAAAAUAAUUUUUGUAAUUUUUAUUUUUGUGACAAAAUAAAGUAAAAGAGUCAAAACUAGUUGAAAUAGCAAUAUUAGGUCUAAACUAAAUAUUUAAAUGCUAAAAUAUGUAAAAUAUUGGGGAGGAUAAAAAAUUACAUGUCUACAACUGCCCUUCUUUGACUGGAAACACAAAGAGUUUUCAGACAAAGAACGACGAGACAAGUUUUUGACCUGACCCUUAUUUAGAGAGACCAAAAACUAAAAGAAAGGAGAAUGUGACCGAGCCCUGGUAUCUGAGCUGCCUACAUAUCCUUGGCUAAAAAGGAAUCAGGCCACGUGUAGUUCAGAAGUAGGAACAGUGAUGGAAUGUACCGAGGUGGAGAGUCGAGUGAGGUUCCGUUCCGUCGAGGUUUUGGUCCGUUGUCCUGUUAUUACAUCAAAAUCAAAAAUUUAUAAGACUAACUAGGCCUAUCAGCUACGAGUUACAAGAUUCCUAUCUAUGAGUCUUCUGAAGCUUGAUCUUGAGUCUUGGUUGGUUCUUCAUGCAGACUCUAAUCUGAAUCUUGAUGCUUGUUAGCUACAUGUGUUAGUUCAUUCUUACACGGCUUCUUCGGGUCAAGAUCAGACAUGCAGUACUCGUGACUAGUCUUGAGCAGUUCACAUCUUUUUUCUGCUUCUGCAUUUUGGAUUCACUUCUUUUUUUCUUUUUUUGGAUUGAGACUACUUCUGUUGGUCAUCUCGGAUUGUUGACUCGCAUUCUUGCCGCGAGCUUCUGCUACUUCUAACUUGAAUUGAAUUCUGAAAUGACUUCCCUUGUUCUCUAGGUGGGCGCCUGCUACUGACUUGAAACUUGAAACAAUUCUAAAACGAAUUCCCUUGUUCUCCAGGUGGGUGCCUGCUACUACAACAAAACAGACAAAACAAAAGAAACUUUUAUGCCCCAGUUUGUACUAGGAAGAUUUAUGAGUUGUUAGUUAAACUGUAAAUCACCUACGUUGUUGAUGAAGGAUGGAAUGAUGAGAGUAAAAUUAAUGACUCGACUAGGAUGUGCGUCUCCUAGGGAUGAAACUUGAAUAACCCAAACUAGGAAGUGCGUCUCCAAAAACUGUAACCUAAAAUAACCAGACUAGGAAGUGCGUCUCCUAAAGAAAUAAAAUCUGGAAACCCCAAUCUAGGAAAUGUGUCUCCUAGAUUUGAGAUUGAGAUUGCAGAAAACUAUAAACUAAGCUUGACUAAAGUAAAAACUGACCCUAUUCUCCAGGCGGGGACCCUGAUUUCAAGAAAACUAAAGAUUAAUAACUUAAGAAAACUAAAUAUUGACCCUUUUUUUUUCAAAUCCAGACUUCCUUUUUUUUUACAAAAAAAAUUAUCCUAGGAGAAAAUUUCAUCAGACUAGGCUUUUUUUUUAUCUUAUGAGAAAGAUUCAUCAGACUAAGAUUUCUAUCCUAGGAAAAAAUUCAUCAGACUAGGUCCAUUUUUUUUAUCUUAGGAUAAUGAUUCAUCAGACUAAGAUUUAUAUCCUAGGAGAAGUUCGUCAGACUAGGUCUUGUAUCUUAGGAGAAAGAUUCAUCAGACUAAGACUUCGAUCCUAGGAGAAAAUUCAUCAGACUAGGUCCAUUUUUGUUAUCUUAGGAGAAAGAUUCAUCAGACUAAGAUUUCUAUCCUAGGAGAAAGUUCAUCAAACUAUGUCUUCUAUCUUAGGAGAAAGAUUCAUCAAACUAAGAUUUUGAUCAUAGGAGAAAGUUCAUCAGACUAGGUCUCUUUUUUAUCUUAGGAGAAAGAUUCAUCAGACUAAAAUUUCGAUCCUAAGAGAAAAUACAUCAGACUAGGUUUUAAUCUUAGGAGAAAGAUUCAUCAGGCUAAGAUUUCUAUCCUAGGAGAAAAUUCAUCAGACUAGGUUUUCUAUCUUAGGAGAAAAAUUCAUCACACUAAGAUUUUUAUUGGGAGAAAAUCCAUCAGACUAGGACUUUUUAUGCUAGAAAGAAAAAUAUGAAGAGCAAUGGCAAAAUUUAUGCACACUAGCAAGACAAAUAAAGACAAAGAUUUGAGAAACUUCCCUUUGUCGGCUCUUUUCUUCUUUUCAUUUCUUCUUUCUUUUUUUUCAUCAUCUUUUUUUUAACCACUUUCCUUGCACUGCUUUGUUCCUGUUUCAAACAAAUAAAAACUUGUCAGUUUUGAAAGGUGGUGGUCGGUUUGUGGACUUGAUCUUUGGCAGCUUGGCUGUGUGCACAUUCGCUUUCAGAAAAUUGACUGUAUUGGUAAUUGGCUGCAUUGAUGGGAGACUCUGUUGUUGCUUUCAAAGGGGCCUUUUCUUUCUGAAUCAAUCCUAAUUUUUCACUCCCAAUGCCAUUGGUGUUUAGUGGCUCAAUCAGCCUUAUCCCGACUGGAGAUCUUUGCUCAGGUGACCUUUUCUGAUGUCUUCAAUGACUUCCUGCUUUUGAGCAAUUUGUCUGUCAGAGAGAAUCACAAGUUAUCUUUGCUUGUGCAAGUAGGCUGACAAGAGUCUUUUGGGGGGAAGCCUUUGCAUGAUUCCUCAAGUCAUGUUGACUGUAACACCUGAGUGUGCUGGCUAAAUUUACUGUGUGCAACUGAAAGGCUGGUUGCAGAUUUUGAAAUCUUUUCUUGCUUGUUUUGAGAAGGACUGACUCAGAGUGAAGGGCACAAUGAUGGAAAGAAACAGUAUUAACAAGAAAUGCCCCUGUCGGAAAGGACAGAAGGAGGAGUUUUUUUUUAACUAGCCUUAAUGAUCAUGACAUGCAUUUUGGACUUAACGUCUGAUCUAUCAAACUGACCAAAUCUUCCCUUUUACCAUUCUUAUGACUUUGAAGUCGGGCUUGUUCGUGCCAAUCCUUUGUAUCAGCUUCACGACUCACUUUCUACUAGUGGUGCCCCGGGGGAUUUUCACCAAUAAAUCUCUCUCAUUUGUUUAUCUCUUCUUCCUAUCGCCUUACAGUGCCCUUAAGGGUUUUCACUAGUAAAACUCUCUCAUUUUUUCUUUUCCUUUUAUUUCCCCUUCUUUUUUUUGGUGAGCAACUUGACAGUGUUCUAUGUCGCGUGACAACCGUUGCUCAUUGCAUGCUUCUUAUGGCAUUCUUGAAGGCAUAUCGGGAGGUCUUUAUUUGGAAGGUUUUGAAUAGGGUUGGACAGAAGGGUCAGCAUGAAGGCUCAAAGUAGACUCAAAAUGAAGGGUCGUAGACUUACAACUCUUGAAAUCGACUCUUUCAAAAGUGAAAUAAAAUCUUUGCCCUAGUUUCAGAUACUGGGGAUUUUUUUUUUGGAUUUUUUUUGAAUUCUUAUUUGGUUGGACCGAACCAUUUAAGGCUGCCUACGUAUCCUUUUUUUAAGGAAUCAGGUCUAACGUAGUUCAAACAUCUGACCUAACUAUAAUUUUUUUAUGUUCCUCUAUUUCUUUUCCUUUUCUUUUUCUCUUUUUUUUCUUUUUUCACUUUUUUUCCUUUUUGUUUGCCCCAGCUCCUAUCUUCUAAGGGCAUGGACUUUCGACCGUUCUUUUCUUCUUCUUUUUCUUCUUUUUUUCACUUGAACUUUCAAAGAACUGCCCUAAUUUAUACUCUAAGGGAAUGGACCUUUAUUGUUAUUAUUUUUUUAUUUUUUAUUUUAACUUUUAACUCUAAACUUGAUUUCAAAAGAGGGUGGUCAAAGAAAAUGACACAGGCACAAAGGGGUAACAAAGGGUAUAAAGUUUUUGGGUAGCAGAAAAAGGGCCUCCCAGCCUCGAGAACGCCAAACAUAUUAUCUUUUUGCGAUCACAAAAUUGACAAACAUGUCUGUCUUCUUGGUAUGUCGUGGUCACAAGACACUUUUCAUCCCUUAAUGUCAAACUUUCCAACAGACUUCAAUUGAUUCUUCCUCAAUCUUAUCUUCACAAUGAUUUUGAAUGUAAAGAUUCUUAACCUCCAUGGGUCUGACUAUUCUAUUCCACUUUAAUUUUACUCAGGCUUAAUUCCAAGGUAUUUCAACUCUUUUUCAUCCUCAAAAGUGUCUUUUCCUCAGUUGUCCAAUUCAAGCUUAAAUCAAUUUUCUAAGAUCUGGCCAAAAAUUCUUCAUGCAUGUCAUGUCACUAAAACUUGCGUGAAAAGAACUAUGCAUGAAAUGACUGACUGUUUUUUAUUGAAUAAAGGAUAGCAGGGUCCGAUAACACAAAAAGAAGAAGAAAAGACGACAAAAUAAGCUACCAUGGCUAAAGGAGGAGCGACUUUCUAGUUACUAAGUGACAUCUUAGCCACACAUUCGCACAUUAGCAUUACUACGGUAUUUGACCAUUUUAAUUGCUUUGGAUUCAACACUCAAAUUUUGACAAUCAUCCCGAGUAGCACAUAUCCUAUUGCUCAAAUCGGGUAAAGUCAACCCCACAUUUGCCUCCAUUUUUUAUUUUUCACCGCCAACUUGUCUGCUUGCCUUUUUGUGACCUUGGAUCAACAACAAUGGUGCUUAUUCCAUUGGUUGAGAAGAUGCUUUUAUUUCCGAGAGAUCUUGGAUUGUUUUUGUGACAUGCCAUUGCAAACCAAUAAACCGACCACCCUCGACUAUCUUUUAUUCCAAAACAAUAAGAAUGUUAUAAUAAACACUCUCUUUCUUUUUUUCCUUUUCUCUUUUUCUUUUUCUUUCAUUCUCUGUUUUUUUUAACCAUUCGAUCGAACCUGAUGUGAGUUGCCUACGUAUCAUAUGGGAACAUGAAUCACAUCUUGCGUAGUUCGGGAAGAUCGGGAAUAAAGUGAAUAACCUAACUCUUUUUUUUUGAAUUUUUAUUUAUUUAUUUAUUUAUUUUAAUUGCCGAAAGAAAGACUUAUAAAGAAGAAAGAAAAUAUUUUUGGGUUUAAAUUUGUUUGUUUUUAUUUGGAGAAUUUUUGGAAAGAAAGACUUUUAAACAAGAAUUUUUUUUGAAUUUUGACUAUAUUUUUUUUGGAAUUUCAAAAGAAAAACUUCAAAGGAAAUAUUUUGGACUUUUAUUUGAAUUUAUGAAAGAAAUACUUCUAAAGAAAAGAGAAAAUAUUUUUUUGAAUCUUGAAUUUUCUUUUUUAAUUUUCGAAAGAAAAAUGAAAAUAUUUUGUAUUUUUAAAAUUUGGGGUCUAAAAGAAAGACUUUCUAAAGAAGGAAGUAAUGGAAAAUAUUUUUGGAUUUUUGAAAAUUGGGGGCCGGAACUGAUGAGGCUUGCCUACGUAUCUCACAUCCAGUGAAAAUCAGACCCGCGUAGUUCGGUCAGUUUUGAUAUAAUUGAAAAAACAUGAUAUUGACUCACUUUAAUUUUUUUUGAAAUAUAUUUUAUUUUCCUCUUUUUUUCAAAAAUUUUGGCAGAGUUUCGAGGCAUUUUCAAAUAUCGGGGUUUUCAUAACCGGGUGAAUUCUCUAUCCUACCCCACUCUUGAUUUUUUUGUUGUUUUUAUUUCCUUAGCCGAUCAACAUACAAACUGAAAUAAAUAAAUGUACAAAUAGCACAUAAGAUGCAUCAGGAUGGUCUUUCAAUUCGGGUACACCUGUCCUAGACGAACCCAACCCCUAUGUUAAGUCCCCAAAGUCAAAUGCACUUGAUGCAAACAAACGUUCCUACUAGGGAUCCAGCAUGAGGUUAUGUUUUUCUAGGUUUAAACCUAGGGUUGUAUUCUAAACCUGGCUUACCCAAGAGGACAACUUGAGCCGAGGUGGGAGCGACGUACCGGGAGCACAAAAGUCUACCCGACCUAGUGGUUGAUCCAUCCUCGUUCUAUUUGGUACGACCUUUAACAGAAAAGCGGGCCACGCGAACGUGUGUACUAUUUUUAGAAGACUCAUAAAAGAGGCGUAAGAAGACAGUUUAAUACAGUUCAAAUAAUAUCAAAGUGGUAAAUAAGCGGCAAUUAGCAUAUUAGGCCCACAAAAUACAAUAAUAUCAACAAUAAUGUCAUGACCCUAAACCUGAACAUGGUCGUGGCGUCUCUCGUGAAGACAAAGCCAGCCGACACAUUUCCAAUUCAUUUUUUAAAUUGUUAAGAUAAUUCAAGUAAGUCUUAAACACAUUAACUAUCCCAGAUAGAUAAGAAGAAACAGUAAAUUUGCGGAAAAUAAGCCCAACACAUCCGAUACUGUGUGUCACCAGUAAUGAGCAUCUAUCAAUUUAAUACAAGUCUGAAGAGUCUACAAAGCUACUACAUAAUCACUAAUAACGGAAAGGAAAUGAGAUAAAGGGAGGAGAAGCACGGGGGUGCGGACGCCGAGCAGCUACCUCGUGAACUCCGAAAUCUGCCGGGAGCUCUCAACCCUCGCAAGCAGGAUCAGCAGCACCUGAAUCUGCACACGGGUUGUAGGGAAUAAAGUGAGUACUACAACUUAGUGAGUAAUAAUCAUAAAUAAAGAUUGAGAAAUAUGAAAUCACGUAAGGCACAUUACAGGCUAUAAUGAAGCAGUAAAAUCCAAUAAAAACAGUAAAUCAGAGAAGAUAUGUAAAGUCAUUUUAGUUCAGUUUAAACUUCAUGAAAUGCCUUUUUAACGAUUAAGCAAGCAAAUGACAGGAAAAUAGGAAAGAUAAACACAUAAAGGAUCUCCCCUCGGGUACAAUGUCAACAAAUCUGCCCCUCGGUCAAUAUCUCAGAAAAAAACCUGCCCCUCGGGCUAUAUCUCACAUCACAAUGGGUACCCGCACUCACUGGGGGUGGCAGACUCCUGGAGGGGCCCCUUACGGCCCAAGCGCAAUAUUAAGCCAUUUGUGGCAUCAUCACUAGGCUCUCGGUCUCAUAUUAACAAGACACAUCGUGGCAUACAAAUCUCAGGCCCUCAGCCUCAUAAUCAUAAUCAGUAUUUCCUCACAACAUAGGCCCUUGGCCUUACUCAGUCAGAAUCUCACAAGCCACUUGAGCAAUAGUAAAACAUCAUGCUCAGCCCAGAAUAUCAGUUUUUAAGUGUUAAAAUAGAGUAAACAUAGUUGAGUUAUGAAAACAGUAGAAUGUAGCAUGACUGAGUUCAAGUAUAAAGUCAAAACAGUGAGGAAAUAUCAGUAAAGAUCCCCUAAGNNNNNNNNNNNNNNNNNNNNNNNNNNNNNNNNNNNNNNNNNNNNNNNNNNNNNNAACAUUUACAAUCAUUACUCACCUCAAAUCGGUGCAAAAUCUAGCCCGUGAUGCCUUUGCCCCUAAAAUCGGCCUCAACUCGGGUCAAAUCUAAUCAAAAUCAGAAUCACGAUGUCAAAAUAUGCUAAGGAAACGAAGCUCAUGCGAAAAUAGUCAAUUUACAACAUAAAUCCCGAAAUUACCAAAACCCGGCCCCUGGGCCCAUGUCACGGAAUUCGAUAAAUUUUACAUCAAUAGAUUCCUUAUCUCCCCACGAGUUUAUACAUAUCAAAAGUACCAAAAUUCAACCACAAAUUGUCCCUCAAAUCCUCAAGUCUAGGUCUCCAAUACCAAGCUCUAGUUUCCCCAAUUUUAACCCUUAAAUUCCAUUAAUUACAGCUCUAAUCCGUGAAAUAAUACCAUAGGAACGAGUUUUAGGUUCAAAAUCCUUACCUCAAUGAAGUUCCCUUGAAUUCCCUCUUCAUAUCGCCCAAAAUGCUCCAAAACCGACUUAGAAAUGGUGGAAUAACUCAAAAAUCACGAAGGAAACAAUUUAUACCUUCUGGCCUAGGGAUUUCGCAUUUGCAGCAAAAUUCCCGCUUUUGUGGUAUCGCAUUUGUGGUCCUCACUUAAGUCGCCCAGCUCCGCAUCUGUGAUGCCUAGCCCGCACCUGUACCAUCGCAGGUGCGGUUCUUCUACCACUUCUGUGUUUCCUGCCAAUUUCACCAGCUUCCGCUUCUGCGACUCUUUUCUGCAUCUGCAGGGGUCGCAUCUGCGGCCUCCCAACCGCAGAUGCGGUUAUGACAGUAGAUUUCCAACUUCAGCUACCAUUCAAACUUUCAUUCCUUCCGUCAACCAUCCGAAAUCACCCCGAGGCCCCCGGGACCUCAACCAAAAACACAAACAUAUCCCAUAACCUCAUUCAAACUUAUACCAAUCUUCAAAACACCUCAAAUAACAUCGAAUCAACCAAAACACAUCGGAUUCAAGCCUAAGUUUUCAAAAUCUUCCGAAUUAUACUUUUGAUCAAAAAUCCAUCCAAACCACGUCCGAAUGACCUGAAAUUUUGCACAUACAUCCCAAAUGACACAGCGAAACUACUGCAACUCUUGGAAUUCCAUUCUGAUCCCUAUAUCAAAAUCUCACCUAUCAACCGGAAAAUGCCAAAAAUUCACUUUCGCCAAUUCAAGCCUAAAUCUACUCUGGGCCUCCAAAACACAUUCCAAUCACACUCCUAAGUCCCAAAUCGGAACCAUCGGAACUCACAUCCGAGCCCUCUAACACAUAAGUCAACAUCUGGUUGACUUUUCCAACUUAAGCUUCCUCAAAAGAGACUAAGUGUCUCAAACCUUACCAAAUCCUUUCAGAACCUGAGCCAACCAACCCGAGCACUCAUCGAACCGAUAACAUACCUGAAGUCUCAAAUAGGUAAGGAUAUAUGCUCUGAAUCUCCCACUCGGUCUCCUAGGUAGCCUCCCCCCACGGGCCAACCUCUCCACUGCACUUUUCACUGAAGCUAUAUCCUUUGCCCUUAACUUUUGAACCUAACGUCCCAAAAUAGCUACUGGCUCCACAUCAUAAGUCAAAUCACCAUCUAACUGAACCGUGCUGAAAUCCAGAACAUGAGACAGAUCCUCAAUAUAUUUCCGGAGCAUAGAAACAUAAAAUAUCGGAUGCAUACUCGACAAGCUGGGUGGCAAAGCAAGAUCAUAAGUCACCUCCUCAAUCCUCUGAAGCACCUCAAAAGGCCCAAUGAACCGAGGACUCAAUUUACCCUUCUUCCCAAACCUCAUAACACCUUUCAUGGGUGAAACCUUCAAGAGAACUUUCUCACCAACCAUGUAGGACACAUCUCGAACCUUCUUAUCGGCAUAACUCUUUUGUCUCAACUGCGAUGUACGAAGCCUCUCCUGAAUCACCUUCUUUUUUCUAAAGCAGCCUGCACCAAGUCUGUCCCCAAUAGCCUAUCCUCACCCUAUUCGAACAAACUAACUGGAAAUCUACACCACCUCCCAUACAAAGCCUCAUAUGGAGCGAUCUGAAUACUCGACUGGUAGCUGUUGUUAUAAGCAAACUCUGCAAGUGAUAGAAACUGAUCCCAUAACCCUCUGAAAUCAAUGAGACAAGCACGCAACAUGUCCUCCAAUAUCUGAAUAGUGUGCUUGGACUGCCCGUCCAUCGGAGGGUGAAAAGUUGUGCUCAACUCAACCUAAGUACCUAACUCUCGCUACACAGACCUCCAAAACUGUGAAGUAAACUGAGUGCCCUCUGAAAUGAUGGAAACUGGGACACCAUGCAAAUGAACAAUUUCCCGGAUAUAGAUAUCUGCAAACUGCUCUUAAGAAUAGGUAGUACACACAGGAAUGAAGUGCGCGGACUUGGUCAGCCGAUCCACAAUUACCCAAAUAGCAUCGAACUUCUUCAAAGUCCGUGGGAGCCCAACUACAAAGUCCAUGGUGAUUCGCUCCAACUUCCACUCUGGAAUAUCCAUCCGCUGAAGUUAUCCACCCGCUCUCUGAUGCUCAUAUUUCACCUACUGACAAUUGAGACAUCAAGCUACAAAUCCCACAAUAGCCUUCUUCAUUCUUCUCCACCAAUAAUGCUACCUCAAAUCCCGAUACAUCUUUGUGGCACCCAGAUGAAUGGAAUACCGCGAGCUAUGGGCCUCCUCCAAAAUCAACUCCCGAAACCCAUCUACAUUGGGCACACAUAUCCGGCCUUGCAUCCUCAACACCCCAUCAUCACCAAUGGUCACAUCUCUAGCAUCAUCAUGCUGAACUCUAUCCUUGUGGACAAGCAAAUGUAGAUCAUCAUACUAGCACUCUCUGAUGCGAUCAUAUAAGGAAGACCGAGAAAUCACACAAGCCAAUACCCGAUUGGGCUCCGAAAUAUCUAACCUCACGAACAGAUUGGCCAAGGCCUGAACAUCAACUACAAGAGGUCUCUCCCCAACUGGAAUAUAUGCUAAACUCCCCAUACUCACCGCCUUUCGGCUCAAAGCAUUAUCCACCACAUUAGCCUUUCCCGGAUGGUACAAUAUAGUGAUAUCAUAAUCCUUUAGCAACUCCAACCACCUCUGCUGCCUCAAAUUAAGAUCCUUCUACUUGAACAAGUGCCAGAGGCUACGAUACACACCAUACAAGUAAUGCCUCUAAAUCUUCAACGCGUGAUCUAUGGCAGCCAACUCCAAAUCAUGAACAGGUUAGUUCUUCUCAUGAGGCUUCAAUUGACGAGAAGCAUAAGUAAUAACUCUACCUUCCUGCAUCAAUACACACCCAAUACCAACUCUCGAAGCAUCAUAAUACAUAGUAUAUGAACCUGAAGCUGAUGAGAAAACUAACACUGGAGCCGUGGUCAAGGCUGUCUUGAGCUUCUGAAAGAUCUCAUCACACUCAUCCGACCAUACAAAUAUAGCACCCUUCUGAGUCAACUUGGUCAAGGGCGAUGCGAUAGAUGAGAAACCCUGAACAAAACGGCAAUAAUAGCCUAUCAAACCAAGAAAGCUGUGAAUCUUUGUGGCUGAGGACGGUCUGGGCCAACUCUGAACUGCCUCUAUAUUCUUCGGAUCAACCUGAAUACCCUCGCUAGACACCUCGUGCCCCAAGAAAACCACUGAAAUGAGCCAAAACUCACACUUGGAGAAUUUUGCAUAAAGCUUCUCCUCCCUCAAUCUCUAAAACACAACUCUUAAAUGCUCCGCGUGCUCCUCUUGACUACGCGAAUACACCAGAAUAUCAUCAAUGAAAACUAUGAAAAAUGAGUCAAGAUAAGGCCGGAACACACUAUUCAUCAAAUACAUGAAUGUUGUUGGGACAUUGGUCAGCUUAAAAGACAUCACCAAGAACUCAUAAUGACCAUAUUGGGUCCUGAAAUUUGUCUUAAGAAUAUCUGAGUCGCUGAUCUUCAACUGGUGAUAACCUGAACGGAGAUCAAUCUUGGAGAACACUCUCGCUCCCUGAAGUUGGUCGAAUAAAUCAUCUAUGCGAGGCAAAGGAUACUUGUUCUUAACUGUUACUUUGUUCAAUUGCCUAUAAUUAAUGUACAUCCCCAUUGUGCCAUCCUUCUUCUUCACAAAUAGAACCGGCGCACCCCAAGGUGACACACUAGGACAAAUGAACCCCUUAUCAAAGAGUUCAAGCUGCUCUUUUAACUCCUUCAACUCCGCUGGUGCCAUACGAUACAGCGGAAUAGAAAUGGGCUGAGUUCCCUACAUCAGGUCAAUACCAAAAUCAAUAUCCAUGUCAGGUGGCAUGCCCGGUAGGUCUGCAGAAUCAAUAUUGGGAGUCUCUGCUCUGACAUCCCUCACAAAGGCUAGAUACGAAAGGCAACCCUUCCUAACUAUACGCUGNNNNNNNNNNNNNNNNNNNNNNNNNNNNNNNNNNNNNNNNNNNNNNNNNNNNNNNNNNNNNNNNNNNNNNNNNNNNNNNNNNNNNNNNNNNNNNNNNNNNNNNNNUGAACAGGUGAAACAAGAGACUUGCGGGGCAUACCCAAAUAAUGAGUAAAGUAUGAUAACACAUAAGAAAAGGUGGAACCGGGAUCAAAUAAUACAGAGACACCUUUGUGGCAUACUGAAACAAUAUCUGUAAUAACAGUAUCAAAAGCAAUAGCAUCGGUUCUAGUUGGAAGUGCAUAGAAACGGGGAUGACCGCCACCUGAUCGACCUCCCCCUCUAGGGCGACCCCUAGCUGACUGACCUCCACCCUUAGCUGGUUGGGUGCGUGAUGAUGAAGUAACCGGCGCUGAAGCCGAUGACUGACACCUCUAUUGAGAUGGACCCGCAAGACGACGAGGACACUGCCUCCACAUAUGACCCAUCUCUCCACACUCAUAGCAACUCCCAGGUGUUGGAGAAGGGGACUAAAGGGAACCCCUUGUACCGAAAUGACUAGUAGAUGCACCUGGCAUAGAAGAGCCCUGAACUGAUGGAGCACGGGACGAACUCUGAGCUAGAAGGGCACUGAGUGAUGACUGGCCCUAAUGAGAACUAUGAGAACCAAGACCCGAUGAAGCCCCACAAUAACCUGGGCGAGCUGGCUGAGCAUGCCUGAAUGGAUGGCCUCUGCCGUGCUGAAACUCACCUCUCGAAGGAGCACCACUAUAACUACCAGAUCCUCGAGGCCUCUUGGUCUCCCUCUCCUCUCGCUCCUAGUGACGAACAGACUCAAUCUCACGAGAAAUGUGUACAACCUCCUCAAAGGUAGCACCAGUCACCCUCUCCCUGGUCAUGAGAAUACGAAGUUGAUAAGUGAGGCCAUCAACAAACCUCCUAAUCCUCUCUCUAUCUGUCGGAACUAACCAAAUCGCAUGACGAGCUAACCCAGAGAACCUCAUUUCAUACUGUGUCACAGUCAGCUCCUUGACGCAACCACUCGAACUGCCUGCGCAGCUCCUCUCUGCGAGACUACGGCACAUAUUUCUCCAAAAAGAGAACGGAGAACUGCUGCCAGGUAAGGGGUGCUGCACCAAUAGGCCUACACCUCUCAAAAGCCUCCCACCAAGUGAAGGCAGCUCCAGAAAACUGAUAAGUAGUGAAAGCGACCCCGCUGGUCUCCAGAAUACCCAUUGUACAAAGAAUCCUCUAACACUUAUCCAAGAAACCUUGGGCACCCUCGCCCUCGCCAUCUUAAGAAGUAGCUGCGCGGUAGUAAUUGAGACCGCCUGAGCUAGGCCAGUACAAACUGAUAGAAUUUGAGCCAAGGCCUUCUGAAGACCCAGAAUCACAAUGGCAACAGCUGGUGCCUGAGCUGGUGCUGCUGGAGUGUCCACAACUGGAACCUGAUCCUGAAUUGGGGCGAUUGGUGGAUCUGCAGGUGCUGCUCUAGUUGUUAUGCAGGCCACACCUCUGCCCCUACCGCGACCAUGACCGCAUCCUCGGCCUCUAGUGUCCACAGCUGGUGGUACUGGUGGUCGUCCAUCCUGACCGGUAGCGCGUGUCCUCACCAUCUGUAAGAGAAUAGAAUAACAGAAGUUUAGUACUCGGAUCAACAGAUUCGCACAACAAGAAGUUCAACAAUAUGAAGUUUUUCCUAAAGGUUCUGUAGCCUCUCGAGGAUAAAUGCAGACAUCUCUGUACCUAUCCGCGAGACUCUACUAAACAUGCUCAUGACUCAUGCGACCUAUGUAACCUUGGCUCUGAUACCAACUUGUCACGACCCUAAACUCGAACCCAGUCGUGAUGGCGCCUCUCGUGAAGACACGGCCAGCCGACACAUUCCCAAUUCAUUUUUAAACAGUUAAUAUAAUGCAAGUAAGUCUUAAACACAUUAACUAUCCCAGAUAGAUAAGAUAAAAUAGUAAAGUUGCGGAAAAUAAGCCCAACACAGUCCGAUACAAGGGUGUCAACAGUCAUGAGCAUCAUCAAUUUAAUACAAGUCUGAAGAAUCUACAAAGCUACUAUAGAAUCACUAAUAAGGUAAAGGAAAUGAGAUAAAGGGGGGAGAAGCACGGGGCUGCGAACGCCGAGAAACUACCUCGUGAACUCCAAAAUCUGCUAUGAGCUCUCUACCCUCGCAAACAGGAUCAACAGCACCUGAAUGUGCACACAGGGUGUAGGGAGUAAAGUGAGUACUCCAACUCAGUGAGUAAUAAUCAUAAAUAAAGACUGAAAAAUAUGAAAUCACGUAAGGCACAUUACAGACUAUAAUGAAGCAGUAAAAGCCAGUAAAAAAUAGUAAAUCAGAUAAGAUAUGUAAAGUCAUUUUAGUUCAGUUUAAACUUCAUGAAAUGCCUUUUUAAUGAUUAAGCAAGCAAGUGAUAGGCAAAUAGGAAAGAUAAACACAUAAAGGAUCGCCCCUCGGGUACAAUGUCAACAAAUCCGCCCCUCGGGCAAUAUCUCAGAAACAAAACUAGUCCCUACGGCUAUAUCUAACAUCACAAUGGGUACUCGCACUCACUGGGGGUGUGCAAACUCCUGGAGGGUCCCCUUACGACCCAAGCACAAUAUCAAGCCAUCUCGUGGCAUCAUUAUAAGGCUUUCGUCCUCAUAUCAACAAGCCACCUCAUAGAGUACAAAUCUCAGGCUCUCAGCCUCAUUAUCAUAAUCAGUGUUUCCUCACAACAUAGGCCCUUGGCCUUACUCAGUCAGAAUCUCACAAGCCACUCGGGCAAUAGUAAAACAUGAUGCUCAGCCCAAAAUAUCAUUUAAAAUAUCAUUUAAGUGUUAAAAUAGAGUAAACAUGGCUGAGUUAUGAAAAUAGUAGAAUGUAGCAUGACUGAGUUCAAGUAUAAAGUAAAAAAAGUGAGGAAAUAUAAGUAAAGAUCCCAUAAGGGUUCAAAUAGUUGGCACAAGGCCCAAAUAUGGCAUUCAGCCCAAAAUAUGAUGAUAGCAAAUAGUUUUCAAUCAAAUACGCGGUAAAAUAGUCAUUCGAGAUGGACUAAGUCACAAUCCCCAAUAGUGCACGACCCCACGCUCUCUAUCUAGCAUGUGUGUCACCUCAAUAUAGCACAAUGAUGUGCAAAUUCGGGGUUUCAUACCCUCAGGACAACAUUUACAAUCAUUACUCACCUUAAACCGGUGCAAAAUCUAUCCCGCGACGCCUUUGCCCCUAAAAUCGGCCUCAACUCGGGUCAAAUCUAACCAAAAUCAGAAUCACAACGUCAAAAUAUGCUAAGGGAACGAAGCCCGUGCGAAAAUAGUCAAUUUACAACAUAAAUCCCGAAAUUACCAAAACCCAACCCCCACGCCCACAUCUCGAAAUUCGAUAAAUUUUAUAUCAAUAGAUUCCUUAUCUCCCCACGAGUUCAUACAUAUCAAAAGUACCAAAAUCCGACCACAAAUGGUCCCUCAAAUCCUCAANNNNNNNNNNNNNNNNNNNNNNNNNNNNNNNNNNNNNNNNNNNNNNNNNNNNNNNNNNNNNNNNNNNNNNNNNNNNNNNNNNNNNNNNNNNNNNNNNNNNNNNNNNNNNNNNNNNNNNNNNNNNNNNNNNNNNNNNNNNNNNNNNNNNGUCUAGGUCUCCAAUACAAGCCCUAGUUUCCCCAAUAUUAACCCUUAAAUUCCAUUAAUUACAGCUCUAAUCCGUGAAAUAAUACCAUAGGAACGAGUUUUAGUUUCAAAAUCCUUACCUCAAUGAAGUUCCCUUGAUUUUCCUCUUCAAAAAUCGCCCAAAAUGCUCAAAACCUGAUUUCGAAUUUGCGGCAAAAUUCUCACUUCUGCGAUACCGCAUUUGCGGUCCUCACUUAAGUCGCCCAGCUCCGCAUCUACGAUGCCUAGCCCGCACCUGCGCCAUCGCAGGUGUGGUUCUUCUACCACUUCUGUGGUUCCUGCAAACUUCACCAGCUUCCGCUUCUGCGACUCUUUUCCGCAUCCCUACCGUAGAUUCGGUUAUGACAGUAGAUUUCCAACUUCAGCUGCCAUUCAAACUUCCAUUCCUUCCGUCAACCAUCCGAAAUUACCCCGAGGCCCCCGGGACCUCAACUAAAAACAUAAACAUAUCCCAUAACCUUAUUCAAACUUAUACCAAUCUUCAAAACACCUCAAACAACAUCGAAUCAACCAAAACACAUCGGAUUCAAGCCUAAGUUUCCAAAAUCUUCCGAAUUUCGCUUUUGAUCAAAAACCCAACCAAAUCACGUCCGAAUAACCUAAAAUUUUGCACACACAUCCCAAAUGACACAACACGAUUACUGCAACUCUCUAAAUUCCAUUACGACCCCUAUAUCAAUAUCUCACCUAUCAACCGGAAAAUGCCAAAAAUCCACUUUCGCCAAUCUCCGGGCCUCCAAUACACAUUUUGAUCACGCUCCGAAGUCCCAAAUCACCUUACCAAGAUAUCCGAACCAUCGGAACUCACAUCCAACUUAAGCUUCCUCAAAAGAGACUAAGUGUCUCAAACCUUACCAAAUCCUUUCCGAACCCGAGCCAACAAACCCGAGCACUCAUCAAACCGAUAACCAAAGCAAUAGGAAGCAAAAAUGGGGGAAACGGAGUGGUAACUCAUGAGACGACUGGCCGGGUCAUCACAAAUAAACAAAGCUAAGUAAAAAUCACAUUAACAAGCUCGAAUUUUUGAACCCUGAACCAGAGAUUCUAAGUUCUAGUCCCCAGCAGAGUUGCCAGAGCUGUCACACCUCCUUUUUCAUAAGAGGGCAUAAGGGAGUUUUUUCAAUUAAAGUGACAUAAUCGAAAUGGGAUUGUUUAAUUAUUUCAGAGUCGCCACUUGAAUUAUUUAUGGUGUCCCAAGUCGCCGGUUUAUUUUAAAAUCCCAAAUCAAGGAAAUUUGACUCUUAUUUAUGGUCUGCAAACAUAGAAGAUUCGGUAAGGAAUUCUGUUAACCCGGGAGAAGGUGUUAGGCAUUCCCGAGUUCUGUAGUUUUAGCACAGUCGCUUUUAAUCCUACCUGACUUAAUUAAAUUGUUUAAUUACGUGUUUUAGAACCCGUGUACUUUAAAAAAUUUACCGCUUUUGAUUGGGCAUUUUAUGAAAUUAUCUUGAAACGAGUCACGCGUACGUGUACUCUUUUUGUUUGGCGCGUCAAGAAUCAUGUCACGCGUACAUGUACACAAUUAAUCACGCUUUAUUAAUAUUAAGAAAGUUUGACCGAAGUUGCACUAAUGCAUACCUCGAUUUAUUUUUAGAAUCAUAAUUAUGUCCCUCGAACGUGUACACAAUCACGAUAAUAGAUUAAGUCGCACCUAAAUCAAGCUAUGAAUAUUCAUUUUAGAAAUCGUAAUCAUGUCAUGCGAACGUGUACAUAAUCACGAUAAUAAAUUCAAAAUGCGCCUAAAGGUUUGCCUACCCAUGAUGUCCUUAAGCAUGCUACUAGCGGGUGACAUAAUAGAUAAUAAAUGAAUAAACAAAAGAGAACUAACUAAUAGAAAAAUUCAACUCAUACUCCAAUUGAAUUGAUUUUAUUUAACCCAACCUCGCAUCCCAUUUUCAGCAAAUUAGACCAAACAAUUGUGGCAUCUAAAUACUCUUAUUCAUACUUGUACUUAAUACAUACAAAUAAUCAAGAAGGCAACAUCAUAUCAUUCCAUCAUAACAUAAGAAAAUGAUCAGCACAAAUAGAAGAGAAAAGGACAAGAUGGACUUGAGAAAACUUUUCCUUUCUGAUUUGAUUAAAUUGAUUCCACAAACAAUGAAGCCCAAUCUACUAUUUGAGAAAACAAACAGGGAUAGCAACUAGAUCGCGAACAGGAACUCAGCUACAAUGCAUGCCUUUACUCGACUCUUUGUGUUUAUAAUGAAAUGUUCGACUUCAAAAACGAAACCAAGCAGUUCACUCGACUCUUUGUGCGAUUGUUUUGUGAUGGUAUGCGGAUAGGUUAGAGGAAUUUCCUUUCUUGAAUAAGAGUGACAUAUGGGAGUCUAGAGGUGAAGAGUGUUCGGCUAUUAGGAGGAGGUGUGAUUAAGGAUGAGAGACGGCGAUAGGGGGCUGGUUUUCGGCGAUAUCGGUUGUGGCCGACGACAGAGGGGUUAGGAGAUGAGCGGAUGUAUGUGUGUGUGGUUGGCGAGGGUUCUAUCGUUGGCAUUGGAAGGGGUGUGAGAGAGAGAGAAGGGGGUGGGCGAUGGGGGUAGUGAGGAGGUCCGGCGGAUUUUUUGGCAGAGAUGAGGGGGCGGCAGCGGCUCUUCUGGUUCUAAGAGCGACGACGGCUGUUGGCUUUCAGGGAGCAACGGUGGCUGCUGCUUGGAGAGAAUGACGGCUGGAGCUCUAAAGAAUAAUUAGGGUUUUUUUUUUGUUGUCUUGGUUGAAGAAGAAGAAGAGGGGACGGCUGGGAGGGGUUAUAGGUCUCUAGGGUUCUUUGUUUUGUCUCUCUGAUGAAGAAGAAGCAACGGCUGGGGUCUUCAAGACUAGGGUUGGGGUCUGUUUUUGUUUUUAGGAAGAAGAGUAUAGAAGGGUCUCUAGGGUUAGCUUAGUGGGUAUUGGGUAUUGGGCUUGGAUUUAUGGGCUAAGGGUCCGAAAAUUGGGCAUAAAAAAUAGGAUGUUUGAGCCCAAAUUUUAU
rnacentral:lncRNA from 1 species